rnacentral:rRNA from 1 species
CCCUUAGAUGUUCUGGGCCGCACGCGCGCUACACUGAUGCAUUCAACGAGUCUAAAACCUGCUCUGAUAGGGGUGGGUAAUCUUUUGAAUGUGCAUCGUGAUUGGGAUAGAUGAUUGAAAUUUUUCAUCUUCAACGAGGAAUGCCUAGUAAACGCAAGUCAUCAGCUUGCAUUGAUUACGUCCCUGCCCUUUGUACACACCGCCCGUCGCUCCUACCGAUUGAAUGAUCCGAUGAAUAUCAUGGAUUGAGGAUGCAAGUAGGUUCACCUAUCUUCAUCUUCGAGAAGUGCAGUAAAUCUUAUCAUUUAGAGGAAGGAGAAGUCGUAACA